rnacentral:rRNA from 1 species
GACGUAGGGGGCGAGCGUUGUCCGGAUUUAUUGGGCGUAAAGCGCGCACAGGCGGUUCGGAAAGUCGGAUGUGAAAAUCCGGGGCUCAACCCCGGACCUGCACCCGAUACUCCCGGACUGGAGGCAGGUAGGGGAGAGCGGAAUUCCCGGUGUAGCGGUGAAAUGCGCAGAUAUCGGGAAGAACACCGGUGGCGAAGGCGGCUCUCGUGGGCCUGUCCGUGACGCUCAGGCGCGAAAGCUAGGGGAGCGAACGAGGAUUA